CUAUAGUUCAGUUGGUUAGAGCGCCGGAUUGUGGUUCCGGAGGUCGUGGGUUCGAACCCCAUUAG
rnacentral:tRNA from 1 species